UUUGUCGUUCCCUCUUUUUCUAGUUAAAAAGAGAAACAGAAGUUCUCUCAAACUCUCUCCUAUAUGCUCCUUGCCGAAGGAGGCACAAAGCCUCCGGCCACCAUGAACCAACGUUACUGAUGGCCAACUACGGUGGCUGUCAAUCAAAUUGAAACCUGAAAAGAAACUACUCCCCCUCCUAAACCUAGAUCCAAACCCUUUUAAGCCAAAAAAACUCACGAAAUACCCUAGAUCUAAGGAUUUACCUUAGAAAAACACCACCUUUCGGUGACGCUGGACUUGUCAGUGAGACUAGGGACGGGAAAAGAAUCUAUAAUAUUUUGCAUUUGGUUUUUGGCUUCUUUUGGCUUUCGGUGCUCUGACCGAGGAGGGGACAACGCCAGGGGACAUGUUUUACUGGUGGAGGUGAUGUGAGCAAGGAACAGGUAAAAACUUUUACCUCGAGGCUUCUUUCAUUUGUUUCUGUGGUGACCGGUGACUGUAGCAGUCCUCGGGAGUUAAGGAGUCAUGGGUGGGAGCUUGAGCCUGGCGCAUGCAUAUCAUGACCAUAAAGAUCGACGGGGGCGUGGAGGCAACGGUGGGUUAAACAAGGUUUAAGGAUGAAACCAUAUUCAUCAUCAAAUUUGGGUCGUUGGAUCUGAUCAGAUCAAAUGGUUGGUAACGCGACGGCUGGAGUGUUUCACUAGGGUCUUGGAAAACCCUAAAAAUGUGUAAAUCCAUUUGAUUGCUCUCUAACCUGACGAUGGAGAUAGUGCGACACUGAGGGAAAAUAAUGAAACCGAUAGUGCGACACUGAGGGAAAAGAAUGAAACCCUAGCUCACUUCCCUUUCAUACGUGGGCCAUUAUUGGGCCUCCUUGAUUUGUAAUGGACAUUUAUAAUUUAAUUAGUUUACUUUCUUUCU